rnacentral:rRNA from 1 species
UACGUAGGUGGCAAGCGUUGUCCGGAUUUACUGGGUGUAAAGGGCGCGUAGGCGGGAUAGCAAGUCAGAUGUGAAAUUCCGGGGCUUAACCCCGGCGCUGCAUCUGAAACUGUUAUUCUUGAGUGUCGGAGAGGAAAGUGGAAUUCCCAGUGUAGCGGUGAAAUGCGUAGAGAUUGGGAGGAACACCGGUGGCGAAGGCAGCUCUCUGGGCGAUAACUGUCGCUGAGGCACGAAAGCGUGGGGAGCAAACAGG